rnacentral:rRNA from 1 species
AUUGAACGCUGGCGGCAUUCUUUACACAUGCAAGUCGAACGGUAACAGGCCGCAAGGUGCUGACGAGUGGCGAACGGGUGAGUAAUGCAUCGGAACGUGCCCAGUCGUGGGGGAUAACGCAGCGAAAGCUGCGCUAAUACCGCAUACGAUCUAUGGAUGAAAGCGGGGGACCGUAAGGCCUCGCGCGAUUGGAGCGGCCGAUGUCAGAUUAGGUAGUUGGUGGGGUAAAGGCUCACCAAGCCAACGAUCUGUAGCUGGUCUGAGAGGACGACCAGCCACACUGGGACUGAGACACGGCCCAGACUCCUACGGGAGGCAGCAGUGGGGAAUUUUGGACAAUGGGCGCAAGCCUGAUCCAGCAAUGCCGCGUGCAGGAAGAAGGCCUUCGGGUUGUAAACUGCUUUUGUACGGAACGAAACGGCUCUGGUUAAUACCUGGGGCUAAUGACGGUACCGUAAGAAUAAGCACCGGCUAACUACGUGCCAGCCGCCGCGGUAAAAC